ACGUCAUAGAGGGUGAGAAUCCCGUAUGUGAUGGGUUGCGCGAGCCAUGUGAAACUCCUUCGACGAGUCGAGUUGUUUGGGAAUGCAGCUCUAAAUGGGAGGUAAAUUUCUUCUAAAGCUAAAUACCGGCCAGAGACCGAUAGCGCACAAGUAGAGUGAUCGAAAGAUGAAAAGCACUUUGGAAAGAGAGUUAAAAAGUACGUGAAAUUGUUGAAAGGGAAGCGCUUGCAACCAGACUUGCUCGCAGUUGCUCAACCCGCCUCCUGGUGGGUGUACUCUUCUGCGGUCAGGCCAGCAUCAGUUCGAGCGGUCGGAUAAAGGCGCCGGGAAUGUAGCUCCUCUCGGGGAGUGUUAUAGCCCGGCGUGGAAUGCGACCUGCUCGGACUGAGGAUCUCGCUUCGGCUAGGAUGCUGGCGUAAUGGUUGUAAGCGGCCCGUCUUGAAACACGGACCAAGGAGUCUAACAUCUAUGCGAGUGUUUGGGUGUCAAACCCAUGCGCGUAAUGAAAGUGAACGGAGGUGGGAACCCGCAAGGGCGCACCAUCGACCGAUCCUGAUGUCUUCGGAUGGAUUUGAGUAUGAGCAUAGCUGUUGGGACCCGAAAGAUGGUGAACUAUGCCUGAAUAGGGUGAAGUCAGAGGAAACUCUGAUGGAGGCUCGCAGCGGUUCUGACGUGCAAAUCGAUCGUCAAAUUUGGGUAUA
rnacentral:rRNA from 1 species